UACGGAGGGGGCUAGCGUUGUUCGGAAUUACUGGGCGUAAAGCGCACGUAGGCGGACUGUUAAGUCGGGGGUGAAAUCCUGGGGCUCAACCUCAGAAUUGCCUCCGAUACUGGCAGUCUCGAGUGCGGGAGAGGUGAGUGGAAUUCCCAGUGUAGAGGUGAAAUUCGUAGAUAUUGGGAAGAACACCAGUGGCGAAGGCGGCUCACUGGCCCGUAACUGACACUGAGGCACGAAAGCGUGGGGAGCAAACAGG
rnacentral:rRNA from 1 species